rnacentral:lncRNA from 1 species
UGCCAUUAGGGAAGUCAUGAGAUAAAGGCCCAGGGUCAGUUAUAAGGAACCACGUUGCCUGUAUCUGAGAUUAAAUGGGAUGCCAAUAUAAUGUGGAGAUUAGGGCACAGGCUGUGAGGAUGACCCGGUUUGUGUUCAAAUCCUGGCUUUCCCACUGUUAUGUUGAUCUUGGGCCAGUUUCUCAGCCUUCCAAAUCUUUGUUUCCUCAUUGGUGAAAUGGGGUUUGCAGAACCCAUCCCCCAGGGUGCUCAGGACGCGUCUGCAUCCUAACAUAGCGAAGCAUUUCAUUCAUUCCCUGACACGGGGCAUGUGUCCGGGAAGCACUGGCCAAAGGAGGUCUCUGAGCCCCCACGGCCUGUUUACGAUGAUUCCCUCUUGCCCGUCCCACUUUCUCGGUCCUCCCGGUCUGGAGGAUCAUAUGACCAAGUGCUUAAUUGUUUUUUUCCUUUCCUAGAUCCUGCAAUUACAGUUUCCCAUCUCAGGCAAGCUAUAUUGUUCCCUCGUUUCUCUCUGAAAAUUAAUAUUGAAAAAACAUCUCUACCAUCCUUUUACUUCCUUCACCCCAUAAGGCUCCCCCUAAGCAUGCUAUCCUGGGGCACCUAACUCUCCUCUUUUUAUUAUUUCCCUCUUGCCAACCUUGGUCAUUUUUUAAAUGUAUCCGACUCUGCAGGAUUUUGACGAAAGUUCAAGAGGACAGUAUUUGUGAUAACCCUUUCCAUGGUGCUUAGAGGGAAGACGAUCUCCGUCCUUCCCUCUCCUGCUGUCCAUCAGUCAAUAAAUAUUUAUGAAGUGUCCUCUAAGUACCAGGGGCCAUACUGAGUAUGGGGUACCAAAGAGAACCAAAGAGGCACAUGUUUCUGUCCUCAUCUUCUUCAAGUGUGCAAGAGUUCCUCUUGUGUAAAUGGAAGGGAAAAUAAAGACUAGAAUUUAACUAGCACUGUACUUACUCCGCUGUCUCCUCCUUUAUUAAAACUGCAACACAGAGGAGAAAGAAAACAACUCUUCCUUCAAGAAGGAGCUCUUAAUUACCUGCCCCAUUCUCUGGGAGGUGAAUAUGUCCGCUGCUUUUUAAUUAUAUUGGCCUUAUUGUUUCAUAAGAAAAUAAAAAACAGUCUCAACAGGGAGACUGCAUGGAGCGGAGGAAGCCAAACAUAACUUAUGCACCUUAUUAAAAACAAUUAGGGAUUGUUUGAUGAGGCAGAUUCGGCUCCAGAUGGCCAGCCUCCAUAUAGCCAUGGUUCAGAUUUCUUCUCACCUUCCCCCAGCUUCUUCCCAAGUUUUGCAUCAUCAGUUUUCUUAAAAUACAAGGAUGGGAUUGUAAGGGAUGCUGUUCCCACGUUUGUUACUUUUCUCUUCUCGGUGGCAACCAAGUCGUUGCUGCACUAACAUUUGUUGGCUCUGGGUCCUCAGGGCUUCUCCUCUGUCACCAUCUUGAUCCCAGUGCUCAGGCUGCCAAGCGCCUACACCGGGCUGUGCUGAUAGCUCCUUGUGUUGAUUGAUAUUGCAACACUCUGUUCAAGAGUGUUUUUCCCCAAGAGACCACAGGCUCCUGAAGGGCAAGGAUUGAACGUUAUUCAUCUCCAUAUUCCAGACACUUAGCACAGUAAAAGGCACACAUUCUGGUGGCACUCAAUCCUAGCUAUCUGUGAAGUUUAUUUAAAAUAUAUCUCCCAGGACCACACCUCCUUGAGAGACAGUUUUGGCCCCACCCCAAACCAUCUCUCAAAUCUGUAUUUUUAAGUAGCUCCUCAAGUGGUGGUGAUGUACAGCAAAGGUUUAAACUGUUACAGUCAUCACUCAGUCAAUGUUUGUGAAGCUAGACUCAUCCAUCCCGGGAAACAAAAGAUAUUUCUGGACGAUCUAGAAAAGGUGCUCACAGAUCAUUCCUGACUCUAAGGAAUCUAGUCAUAUGAAUAUAUGGGGAGCGAUUUCUUUCCCCAUGUUGUUUGCUUAUUCUCUAAAAAUGAAAAAAAGAGAACAACUCAAAAUGCAUAUGAAAUCGCAGAAAGUUGAUAAAGCCUCAAUAUCCAUCAACAGAGAGAGGGCU